CCUACGGGAGGCAGCAGUGGGGAAUCUUAGACAAUGGGCGCAAGCAUGAUCUAGCCAUGCCGCGUGUGUGAUGAAGGUCUUAGGAUCGUAAAGCUCUUUCGCCAGGGAUGAUAAUGACAGUACCUGGAAAAGAAACCCCGGAUAUCUCCGUGCCAGCAGCCGCGGUAAUACGGAGGGGGUUAGCGUUGUUCGGAAUUACUGGGCGUAAAGCGUAYGUAGGCGGAUCAGAAAGUAUGGGGWGAAAUCCCAGGGCUCAACCCGGGAACUGCCUKAUAAACUCCUGGUCUAGAGUUCGAGAGAGGDGAGGGGAAUUCCAAGUGUAGAGGWGAAAUUUGUAGAUAUKGGGAGGAACACCAGUGGAGAAGGCGGUUCAGUGGCUCGAUASWGACGCUGAGGUGCGAAAGUGGGGGGAGCACACAGGAUUAGAUACCCUGGUUGUCCACAC
rnacentral:rRNA from 1 species